GCACCGGUAGUGCGACGGUUUUAGCAUGCGCUCCCGAAUAGGGUGAAAUCUGGGUUUGAAUCCCAGCUGACGCA